rnacentral:rRNA from 1 species
CCUACGGGUGGCAGCAGAGGGGAAUAUUGCACAAUGGGCGAAACCCUGAUGCAGCGACGCCGCGUGAGCGAUGAAGGAUUUCGGUAUGUAAAGCGCUAUCCGCAGGGAAGAAAAUGACGGUACCUGACUAAGAAGCCCCGGCUAACUACAUGCCAGCAGCCGCGGUAAUACGUAGGGGGCCAGCGGUAUCCGGAUUUACGUGGUGUAAAGGGAGCGUAGACGGCGGUGCAGGGCAGAUGGGAAAGGCCGGGGCUCAACCCCCGGACUGCAUUUGGAACUGUGGUGCUAGAGUGUCGGAGAGGCAGGCGGAAUUCGUGGUGUAGCGGUGAAAUGCGUAGAUAUUAGGCGGAACACCAGUGGCGAAGGCGGCCUGCCGGAGGAUGACUGACGUUGAGGCUCGAAAGCGUGGGGAGCAAACAGGAUUAGAUACCCCAGUAGUC